rnacentral:RNase_P_RNA from 1 species
GGAGUGGGUUAGGCGAUCGCUGUGGGUGUGAUUCGUAAGAAUUUCACCCGUGGAGGAAAGACCGGGCUCCGUAGGAUACGGUGGUGGGUAACGCCCACCGUCCGCGAGGAUCGGGAAAGUGCAACAGAGAGCAAACCGCCGAUGGCUUUGGCUUUGGUCAAAGCACAGGUAAGGGUGAAACGGUGCGGUAAGAGCGCACCAGCAGAGCGGGUGACCGUUUUGGCUUGGUAAACCCCACCGGGAGCAAGAUCAAGCAGAGAGAAGAUGGUUUCCAUCACGGUUUUUUCCGAACCGUCCGACUCUCGGGUAGAUUGCGACGAGGCGUUGAGUAAUUAACGCCCCAGAGAAAUGAUCGUCCACGACAAAACCCGGCUUAUCGACCCACUCCUCCU